rnacentral:rRNA from 1 species
UACGUAGGGGGCAAGCGUUGUCCGGAUUUACUGGGCGUAAAGGGCGCGUAGGCGGCGCAACAAGUCACUUGUGAAAUCUCCGGGCUUAACUCGGAGCGGUCAAGUGAUACUGUCGUGCUAGAGUGCGGAAGGGGCUACUGGAAUUCUCGGUGUAGCGGUGAAAUGCGUAGAUAUCGAGAGGAACACCUGCGGCGAAGGCGGGUAGCUGGGCCGACACUGACGCUGAUGCGCGAAAGCCAGGGAGCGAAGCGGG